rnacentral:rRNA from 1 species
UGGGGAAUAUUGGACAAUGGGGGGAACCCUGAUCCAGCUAUGCCGCGUGAGUGAAGAAGGCCUUCGGGUUGUAAAGCUCUUUUAUAUAAGAAGAUGAUGACGGUAAUAUAUGAAUAAGCACCGGCAAACUUCGUGCCAGCAGCCGCGGUAAUACGAAGGGUGCUAGCGUUGUUCGGAUUUACUGGGCGUAAAGGGCGCGUAGGCGGCUUUACAUGUCAGUGGUGAAAUCCCAGGGCUCAACCUUGGAAUUGCCGUUGAAACUGUAGAGCUAGUGGUAGCGAGAGGAUGGCGGAAUAUCCAGUGUAGAGGUGAAAUUCGUAGAUAUUGGGUAGAACACCGGUUGCGAAAGCGGCCAUCUGGAGCUAAACAGACGCUGAGGCGCGAAAGCGUGGGGAUCAAACA